CACAAAAGCUGGAAAUUUCAGAUGGGCUUAUAAAUAUUCCUUACAGGGAGAGAAAAAAUUAUUUGUUCUUGUAGCUUCAAAGGAGAAACAAGCUGGGGUGUUAAAUACCCAUUUAAGAUUCAACAAGGAAAUUACCCAAGAACACAUGAAAGGGGGAAAAGCUAGAUUUUCUUCAACAAGAUUGGAAAAUCAUUGGCAUCGUUGGAUCUUUUGUGGUAACAUUGAAUAGAUAUUCGAGUUUUAUUUCAGGAUUAUGUGUUGAUCAUCUUGAGCCAUGCGGUUAGGUCAGCUCUACAUAUUCCAGUUGGAUACUUUUGGGGAGACUCCACUUACUUUCGUGGAGCUUGAAUUGUUAUAUUUGUUGAGUCACUGGAGCCUGUUUCAGUUGACUAGUUUAAUCCUUGUCAUAGACAUUCCAUAGACGGUAGUAGUUCUUUCGGGUUGUAACUAUGGUUAUUCAUAUGGCAUGCAUACAUGAGAUUUUAUUAUUUUUAUGAAUAUUCCAUUUAAAUGAAAUGUGGUCAAUUUAACGGUUGUAUUAAUGCAUGGUUUUCAAUACUUAAAGGAUUGAAAUUUUCCAAAGGCUUCCGCAUUCAUGUUUCAAGUGCAUAAUUAGGGAUUAUUACAUGGGUUGGUUCGGUCAGGUCGGGUAGAAUUCCAGGUGCCGGUCACGUGGAUUUGGAGUGUGACACUAGCUUUUGGGGCUGAAUUAGGACCAAGAUCCAUCAAUAUAUUUGAUUUUAUCAUGUGUAAACUUUCUUCAUGGUACCAGAGCCAGGCCCAGGCCCAAUCCGAUGUGGGCCAUCAAAAAAAAGGGGCAGAAUGCCUCCGGACCAAUUGACCCGCAUAAGUACAACUAAGUCAGGGAAAUUCUUGAAAUUAAUAUUGUAUAGUUUGGAAUAAAUUACAACUCCGUGAUAUAAGUGUAGGAAUUAAUUGAAUGAAUCCGUAUUAUUGAAUUGUCUGGAAAUAAUUAAUUAGUAGUGAUUGAGAAACUACUAGGUGCUGGUAAUUUAACGGUGAUUAAUAAUAAUUGGAGUUAUUAAUGGAGCAAAAAGGUUUGGCUAGCUAAUG